rnacentral:rRNA from 1 species
GGAUGAAUGAAUAGUUUGUCCCUGCCGAUGACGAUUUCUUGCAGCACACCUAUGUCUGAAAGCUCUUUCAGGUACUUAGAGGCCGUCUGCCGUUUGGCUAUCCCUGCCGCUUCUAGGUUGGCAAUGCGUGUAUAUGGCUGCUCAAACAGAAGAUUUACCAGUUCGUGCGUGUAGAUUCCUUGUGCGUGUGUCCGUAUGUGUUGCCGUGUCUGCUCGAACAGGCGGCGUAUCGCAUCUAUUUUCGAUACCGUCCAAUCGGCGGUGUCAGCU